GGCUCAGUAGUUUAGAGGUUAAACGUUCGUGUUCAAGACCGAAGGUCUUGGGUUCGAAUCCCUUUGGUGUG
rnacentral:tRNA from 1 species